CGUGUGUAUUUUCAUUAAAACUUCCUAUAUGUAUUUUUAUGCCAUUGGUGGUGGAGCAAUAAUAGUCUCUAUCUUCCAAAUGACCGAAGGUUUAAGUAGAUCAACUACUAUUUCACUACCCUGUCAACACCGAUAAGGCGGUGUCGAACCUCAUACGUGUCAGCUAGUUUGAUAGAAUCUUCGUUAGGAAGGAUUAUUUGUUUUGUCGUUGGUGCUCUUUGGUUUUCACCGGGCAGUCCGGCAUCAUUUGCCAAUAAAAACUCACCUCCACGAAAUAGCUAGAAGUGCUGAAAGUUACGUUAAACACUAAUUAUUCAAUCAAACCAAAACAUUUCAUGAUUUUCUCACGUCAUUCAAGUAUUAGAAAUCGGUUAUUUUAUUUUUAUCCAUUUGAUGACCAAAACAAACUUUUUCAACU
rnacentral:lncRNA from 1 species